CACAACCUUUAUCGCGAAAGAAACUGGUGGCUUUGUGCGUGUUACGACGAUGUUCAGAGAUUUGUUAAAAUAUCGCCUUCUGUCUUUUCAAACUUUCCAUCUCUGUGCCUCCUUGUUUCGUCUCUCAGUUCUUCUGCUACUUUCUCUACGACUGUUGUCGCUCGCUGCUAACUGCUGGAAUCUCAUCUCUUCACACACUCGUCCCCUCAGCUUCUUCUUCAUCAUCAUCUCUCUCUCUCUCUCUCUCUCUCUCUCUCUCUUCCUCCAUCCCCCGGCUGCUUCGAAAGGAAUCCCAGAAUCAAGAUAACAGACACGUAUUCGUCGUAGUCGUUGUCGAUCCUUACCCAGACAUUGGACCAACUCGUUCCGGAACUCGAAAACUAGGCGCUACAGUUGUUAGUUGCUAUUUGCCUGGGAAGAAAAACAAAAAAAAAAAAGAAAACCUUUGAAGUGAUUGAAAUACAAGGCAACAACAACAACAA